rnacentral:rRNA from 1 species
UACGUAGGAGGCAAGCGUUGUCCGGAUUUACUGGGCGUAAAGAGCGUGUAGGCGGUUGAGCAAGUCUGCUGUGAAAUCUCCUGGCUCAACCAGGAAGGGUCAGUGGAAACUGCUUAACUUGAGGACGGUAGAGGGGGGUGGAAUUCCCGGUGUAGUGGUGAAAUGCGCAGAUAUCGGGAGGAACACCAACGGCGAAGGCAGCACUCUGGGCUGGAACUGACGCUGAGGAGCGAAAGCGUGGGUAGCAAACAGG